AUUGAACGCUGGCGGCAUGCCUUACACAUGCAAGUCGAACGGCAGCACGGGAGCAAUCCUGGUGGCGAGUGGCGAACGGGUGAGUAAUAUAUCGGAACGUGCCCAGUCGUGGGGGAUAACGUAGCGAAAGCUACGCUAAUUCCGCAUACGAUCUAUGGAUGAAAGCGGGGGAUCGCAAGACCUCGCGCGCUUGGCGCGGCCUAUACCAGAUUAGGUAGUUGGUGGGGUAAAGGCUCACCCAGCCGAAAAUCUGUAGCUGGUCUGAGAGGACGACCAGCCACACUGGGACUGAGACACGGCCCAGACUCCUACGGGAGGCAGCAGUGGGGAAUUUUGGACAAUGGGCGCAAGCCUGAUCCAGCAAUGCCGCGUGCAGGAUGAAGGCCUUCGGGUUGUAAACUGCUUUUGUACGGAGCGAAAAGGCUUCCACUAAUACUGGGGGCUCAUGACGGUACCGUAAGAAUAAGCACCGGCUAACUACGUGCCAGCCGCCGCCGUAACAC
rnacentral:rRNA from 1 species